GACAUUCAAGGAGUAAUCUGAGAGUGUUCUAGCGGCGGACGGGUGAGUAACGCGUGAGCAACCUGUCCUUAUCUGGGGGAUAAGAAGCCGAAAGGCUUUCUAAUACCGCAUGAGACCACAGAGCCACAUGGUUCAGGGGUCAAAGGAGUAAUCCGGGUAAGGGUGGGCUCGCGUCUGAUUAGCUAGUUGGUGGGGUAACGGCUCACCAAGGCUUUGAUCAGUAGCCGACCUGAGAGGGUGAUCGGCCACAUUGGAACUGAGACACGGUCCAAACUCCUACGGGAGGCAGCAGUGGGGAAUAUUGGGCAAUGGGCGAAAGCCUGACCCAGCAACGCCGCGUGAAGGAAGAAGGUUUUCGGAUCGUAAACUUCUAUCCUAGGUGAAGAUAAUGACGGUAGCCUAGAAGGAAGCCCCGGCUAACUACGUGCCAGCAGCCGCGGUAAUACGUAGGGGGCAAGCGUUGUCCGGAAUGAUUGGGCGUAAAGGGCGCGUAGGCGGCCUUCUAAGUCCGAUGUGAAAGUCCUGCUUUUAAGGUGGGAAUUGCAUUGGAAACUGGAGGGCUUGAGUGCAGGAGAGGUAAGUGGAAUUCCCGGUGUAGCGGUGAAAUGCGUAGAGAUCGGGAGGAACACCAGUGGCGAAGGCGACUUACUGGACUGUAACUGACGCUGAGGCGCGAAAGUGUGGGGAGCAAACAGGAUUAGAUACCCUGGUAGUCCACGCCCUAAACGAUGUCAACUGGUUGUUGGGAGGGUUUCUUCUCAGUAACGAAGCUAACGCGUGAAGUUGACCGCCUGGGGAGU
rnacentral:rRNA from 1 species